GACGAACGCUGGCGGCGUGCUUAACACAUGCAAGUCGAACGGAAAGGCCCUGCUUUUGUGGGGUGCUCGAGUGGCGAACGGGUGAGUAACACGUGAGUAACCUGCCCUUGACUUUGGGAUAACUUCAGGAAACUGGGGCUAAUACCGGAUAUGAGCUCCUGCUGCAUGGGGGGGGUUGGAAAGUUUCGGCGUUUGGGGAUGGACUCGCGGCUUAUCAGCGUGUUGGUGGGGUAGUGGCUUACCAAGGCUUUGACGGGUAGCCGGCCUGAGAGGGUGACCGGCCACAUUGGGACUGAGAUACGGCCCAGAGUCCUACGGGAGGCAGCAGUGGGGAAUAUUGCACAAUGGGCGGAAGCCGGAUGCAGCAACGCCGCGUGCGGGAUGACGGCCUUCGGGUUGUAAACCGCUUUCGCCUGUGACGAAGCGUGAGUGACGGUAAUGGGUAAAGAAGCACCGGCUAACUACGUG
rnacentral:rRNA from 1 species